CCUACGGGUGGCUGCAGUGAGGAAUAUUGGUCAAUGGGCGGAAGCCUGAACCAGCCAAGCCGCGUGCAGGAUGAAGGCCCUAAGGGUCGUAAACUUCUUUUAUCCGGGAACAAAGGGCGGUACGUGUCGCGCUUUGAGUGUACCUGAAGAAAAAGCAUCGGCUAACUCCGUGCCAGCAGCCGCGGUAAUACGGAGGGUGCGAGCGUUAUCCGGAGUUAUUGGGGUUAAAGGGGGCGGAGGCGGCCUGUCAAGUCAGCGGUAAAAUGCCGGGGCUCAACCCGGGCCUAGCCGCGCAAACUGGCGGGCUUGAGUCGGCGGGAAGCAGGCGGAAUGCGUGGUGUAGCGGUGAAAUGCAUAGAUAUGGCGCAGAACCCCGAUUGCGAAGGCAGCGUGCCGGAGCCGCACUGACGCUGAGGCACGAAAGCGUGGGUAUCGAACAGGAUUAGAUACCCGAGUAGUC
rnacentral:rRNA from 1 species